UACGAAGGGGGCUAGCGUUGCUCGGAAUCACUGGGCGUAAAGCGCACGUAGGCGGGUUCUUAAGUCAGGGGUGAAAUCCUGGAGCUCAACUCCAGAACUGCCUUUGAUACUGGGAAUCUCGAGUCCGGGAGAGGUGAGUGGAACUGCGAGUGUAGAGGUGAAAUUCGUAGAUAUUCGCAAGAACACCAGUGGCGAAGGCGGCUCACUGGCCCGGUACUGGCGCUGAGGUGCGAAAGCGUGGGGAGCAAACAGG
rnacentral:rRNA from 1 species